rnacentral:rRNA from 1 species
AGAGUUUGAUCCUGGCUCAGGAUGAACGCUAGCUACAGGCUUAACACAUGCAAGUCGAGGGGCAGCAUGGUCUUAGCUUGCUAAGGCCGAUGGCGACCGGCGCACGGGUGAGUAACACGUAUCCAACCUGCCGUCUACUCUUGGACAGCCUUCUGAAAGGAAGAUUAAUACAAGAUGGCAUCAUGAGUCCGCAUGUUCACAUGAUUAAAGGUAUUCCGGUAGACGAUGGGGAUGCGUUCCAUUAGAUAGUAGGCGGGGUAACGGCCCACCUAGUCUUCGAUGGAUAGGGGUUCUGAGAGGAAGGUCCCCCACAUUGGAACUGAGACACGGUCCAAACUCCUACGGGAGGCAGCAGUGAGGAAUAUUGGUCAAUGGGCGGGAGCCUGAACCAGCCAAGUAGCGUGAAGGACGACGGCCCUACGGGUUGUAAACUUCUUUUAUAAGGGAAUAAAGUUCGCCACGUGUGGUGUUUUGUAUGUACCUUAUGAAUAAGCAUCGGCUAAUUCCGUGCCAGCAGCCGCGGUAAUACGGAAGAUGCGAGCGUUAUCCGGAUUUAUUGGGUUUAAAGGGAGCGUAGGCGGGCUUUUAAGUCAGCGGUCAAAUGCCACGGCUCAACCGUGGCCAGCCGUUGAAACUGCAAGCCUUGAGUCUGCACAGGGCACAUGGAAUUCGUGGUGUAGCGGUGAAAUGCUUAGAUAUCACGAAGAACUCCGAUCGCGAAGGCAUUGUGCCGGGGCAGCACUGACGCUGAGGCUCGAAAGUGCGGGUAUCAAACAGGAUUAGAUACCCUGGUAGUCCGCACGGUAAACGAUGAAUGCUCGCUAUGGGCGAUACAAUGUCCGUGGCCAAGCGAAAGCGUUAAGCAUUCCACCUGGGGAGUACGCCGGCAACGGUGAAACUCAAAGGAAUUGACGGGGGCCCGCACAAGCGGAGGAACAUGUGGUUUAAUUCGAUGAUACGCGAGGAACCUUACCCGGGCUU